CAGUAGCCACGGGAAUACGUAGGUGGCAAGCGUUGUCCGGAAUUAUUGGGCGUAAAGCGCGCGCAGGCGGAUCAGUUAGUCUGUCUUAAAAGUUCGGGGCUUAACCCCGUGAUGGGAUGGAAACUGCUGAUCUAGAGUAUCGGAGAGGAAAGCGGAAUUCCCAGUGUAGCGGUGAAAUGCGUAGAUAUUGGGAGGAACACCAGUGGCGAAGGCGGCUUUCUGGACUGCAACUGACGCUGAGGCUCGAAAGCCAGGGGAGCGAACGGGAUUAGAUACCCCCGUAGUCCCUGUCUCUUAUACA
rnacentral:rRNA from 1 species